rnacentral:rRNA from 1 species
AGAGUUUGAUCCUGGCUCAGGAUGAACGCUAGCGGCAGGCUUAACACAUGCAAGUCGAGGGGCAGCACAGGGAGCAAUCCUGGGUGGCGACCGGCGGAAGGGUGCGUAACGCGUGAGCAACUUGCCCGUAUCUGGGGGAUAACCGAUGGAAACGUCGACUAAUACCCCAUAACAUAUUGAAUGGCAUCAUUUAGUAUUGAAAGUUUCGAUGGAUACGGAUAGGCUCGCGUGACAUUAGCUAGUUGGAGUGGUAACGGCACACCAAGGCGACGAUGUCUAGGGGUUCUGAGAGGAAGGUCCCCCACACUGGAACUGAGACACGGUCCAGACUCCUACGGGAGGCAGCAGUGAGGAAUAUUGGUCAAUGGGCGGAAGCCUGAACCAGCCAUGCCGCGUGAAGGAAUAAGGCCCUAUGGGUCGUAAACUUCUUUUGACGGGGAGCAAUAAGAUCUACGUGUAGAUCGAUGAGAGUACUCGUCGAAUAAGCAUCGGCUAACUCCGUGCCAGCAGCCGCGGUAAUACGGAGGAUGCAAGCGUUAUCCGGAUUUAUUGGGUUUAAAGGGUGCGUAGGCUGUCUGUCAAGUCAGGGGUGAAAUACCGCAGCUCAACUGUGGAAUUGCCUUUGAUACUGGCAGGCUUGAAUACUGUUGCCGUGGGAGGAAUGAGUAGUGUAGCGGUGAAAUGCAUAGAUAUUACUCAGAACACCGAUUGCGAAGGCAUCUCACGAAGCAGGGAUUGACGCUGAGGCACGAAAGCGUGGGGAUCAAACAGGAUUAGAUACCCUGGUAGUCCACGCAGUAAACGAUGAUAAUAACCGUUGGCGAUAGACAGUCAGUGGCC